ensembl:lncRNA
CUUAAACACAUCAUCAGACAGUACAAUUUCCGGCCUUUUCCAUUUUGUUCCAUUUUCAGGAGCUGAGCAUGAUGAACGAGAAGUCGGAAGUGAGUCAGCAGGAUAGCACUUAGAGCCUAAAAAAGCAAGCAGGACAUCAGAAUGCAUAAGCAGGAAUAUAAUGUGCAGGAAGUGGGAGGUGAUCUUCCCUUUCUUCCAAGAACUGGCUCACCCCAUAAGUUGUCUGCAGAGACUUUGCAGAACUUGGACCAGGCCCAGGAAGAUUAAAGGACUACAAAAGGAGCAACUCAUAUUCAACAGUGCUGGGUGCUCAACACCUGUUCUCUCAUGUGAUCAAUCAUCAAUAUGUCCCAUUUUGCAAAUGAAGAAACAGACUCAGGAAGGCAAGGUUUCUCCUUGGGAUGAUGCUGAAGCAGCAAAGCUCCCCAGAGCUGUUAUGCAGACCUGGACACCCAGCACUGUGCAGAGGGCAACAUCUCGGACAUGCCUCUUUAAGGGAUGAAUAGACUUGGAGGGAGGUCACAUAGAUAAGUCCACCCGGGGGCGCUGCAUGGGAUGACAGAUCUGAAAUGUGUCAUCUCUGCUCUGGCCCCGAUCUCUGUACCCUUUUUUAUUCAUUAGCUUUUUAUUUUAGAAGGGUUUUAGAUUCACAAAAAAGUUGUAAAAACAGUAUGGAGUUCCCAUAUACCCCUUGCAAAGUUUCCCCUAUUGCUAACAUCUUACAUUACUAAGGUACUUUUGUCACAACUAAAGAACCAACAUUGGUACAUUGUUUUAUAUAUAUAUAUUCUUUUUUUUUUUUUUUUCAGAAACAGGGUCUUGCUAUAUUGCCCAGGAUGGGUUCAAACUCCUGGACUCAAGUGAUCCUCCUGCCUCAGCCUUCCAAGUAGCUGGUACUACAGGCAUGAGCCACUCCACCCUGGUAUAUUAAUAUUAACUAAACUCCACACACUAUCCAAUUUCACUGUUUUAAAAAAUGUCCCUUUUCAGUUCCAGGAUCCCAGCCAGGAUAUCACAUUACAUUUAGUUGUUAUGUCACUUUAGCCUCCUCUGAUCUGUGACACUCCCAGACUUUUCCUGUCCUUGAUGACCUUAAAGAUUUUAAGAGGUACUGGUAAGGUAUGUUGUAGAAUGUCUCUCAAAUUUGGGAUUUUUUUUUUUUUUUUCCAGGCAGGGUUUUACUCUGUUGCCCAGGCUGGAGUGCAGUGGUGUAAUCAUAGCUAACUGCAGCCUCCAACUCCUGGGCUCAAGCCAUCCUCCCAUAUUGACCUCCAAAGUGCUGGGAUUGUGGGUGUUGAGACACCGUGCUCAGCAUUUUUUUCCUUAAGACAGUCUCACUGUGUUGUCCAGGCUUGGGUACAGUGGUGUGAUUAAUCAGAGCUCACUGCAGCCUUGGCUUCCUGGGCUCAGCUGAUUCUCCCACCUCAGCCUCCCGAAUAGCUGGGACCACAGGUGGGCACCACCACACCUGGCUAAUUUUUGUAUUUUUUGUAGAGGCAGUUUUCGCCAUGUUGCCCAGGCUGUGCCUGAUGAAUUUUUUUUUUUUUAUGAGUACCUUAAAGUUACUCAUUUGCCCAGUUGCAAGAUUCUCCAAGGCUUUAUUUAUGCUGGCAGAGCCAGCAUCUUUCUAAAAAAUGACAUUGAUAUAUAUUCACCUAAGUAAAUUCAUGUACCCAUCUCAACUCUUCCCUUUGACGGUGUGGACAAGCUCAUAUUCCAAAGCAUAUGACCCUAAAACUGAAAAGAUGCAACAACACUUCAGGUUUUGUGCUGAUACAUUUGUUCGAAACAUUGGAUGAGAUGAUACAGAGCAUUUUACACAGUGCCUGACACAUAAUUGGCACUCAAUACAUAUUAGCUAUUGUUAUUGAGAAGUACUAGGUCUUUUCUUCUUACAUUUCUUGGCAUUUGUUAAGUCAUGGCAUAGUGCCAGAGAUCACAUGGAUGGAAAGGUAAAGUGUAAGGAGUAAGGAGAUGGGGUGAGAGGCAUUUCAUGAUUUGUCAAAUUUUGAAUAAAGGAACCUCACCUCUUACAAAAAUAAAAAGUACUGGAAAUGCAGUAACAAGUAAAGAACAAGAAUGUACACCUGAAAGUAGUAUUAUACGUUAGGAAUAUAGGAAAGACCACCUGGACCUGCCCUGGCUUUUUUCUUUUUUUUUCAGGGUCUCACUCUGUUGCCCAGGCCAGACUGCAGUGGCACAGUCUUGGCAGCCUUGACCUCUCAUGCUCAGGUGAUCCUCCCACCUCAGCCUCCUGAGUAGCUGGGACUACAGAUGCACCCACUAUGUCUGACUGGCCUGGCAUUUUGAUUUGUUAAAAAAUAUUUAGUGAUAACCUACUAUGUGCCAGCCAUUGUGUUAGGUAUGAGGAUACAACAGUGAAUAGACAGAUUUGGUUCUUACCCUCAUGGAGUUUGCUGUCUACUGAGGGACACAGCAGUUAAUAAAGUAAACAUUUCUAGACAUCGAAACUACAAAUAAUAAUAAUAAUGAUAAUAAAUAAACAAAUGAAUAUGCAAUUAUAAAUGGUGAUAAACAAUAACCAUCUCUAACAGACAAUUCAAACUCAAUUUGUCCAAAUUAAGUUCUCUUUUCCCUUGUGCCUUGUCCAGUGUUCUCCAUCUCAGUAAAUGACACCAUCAUUCACCAAUUACUUACUCAGUGUGUCAGUAAGUUGCUUUAGAUCAAAAACCUUGAAGUGAUUCUUGACUCAGAAUUUCCCCAUAUCUCAGUCAGUCUUGUCUUUUGGCUGUACCUUCCAAAGUCAUCCUGAAUUCAACUUCUUCUUGCCAUUCCUGAGACUAACGUAUUGCCCAAGGCAUCAUCAUGUCUCAUCAGGAAUAUCCAAAGCAUCUUGCUGCUUUUAAUCUUUUUCCUGUGAAGACUAUUCUCUGCACACCAGUAAGAAUGAUCCUUUUUGGCAUUCUCCCCAGAUAUAUAAUGCCCAGGAAUAAGUUUAAACAAGGUGAUGAAAGACUUGUACACUGAAACUAUGAGAGCAUUGCUGAAAAAAUUUAAGGAAGACCUAUAGAAACGGAAAGACAUUCCUUGUUCAAAGGUUAGAGACUUAAUAUUAUUUAGACGGCAGUACAGCCCAAAGUGAUUUACAUACUCAAUGCAAUCCCUAUCAAAUUUUAAUGACUUUUUUUUGCAGAAAUGGAAAAGCCAAUCUUCAAAUUCAAAUGUAAUUGCAAGGGACCUAAAAUAGCCAAAAUGAUAUUGAAGGAAAAGAACAAUGUUGGAAGAGUCAUACUUCCCAAUUUCAAAACUUACUACAAAGGUACACUAAUUAAAACUGUGUGGUAUUGGCAUAAGGGUAGACCUAUUGAAGAGAAUUGAAAGUCCAGAAAUAAACUCAUACAUUUAUGGUGCUGAUUUUUGACAAGAACACCAAGUCCAUACAAUAUAGAAAGAAUAAUCUCUUCAACAAACGGUGCUGGGACAAUUGGAUAACCACAUACAAAAAAAUUAAGUUGGAUACCUACUUCAUAUCAUAAGCAAAAAUUGCC